UUCAUUUGUCAUUUUGUUCCAUGUCACUGUGUCACUUUAUUCACAGGUCCAGUUGCAUGUGUGAUGUGUUUUUCAGUUAGUCAGAUGACUGGCACUGCAUGGAGUCAACAAGAGAGGCAGGUGUCUGGUGGAGUGGAGCCACUGAGGUUCACUCUUAUGGAGUCAUUUAAAUGUUCGUCUGUCAGUCUUGUUCUGAACUUUGAUUUCAUGACAUUCAUGU